rnacentral:rRNA from 1 species
GAUGAACGCUGGCGGCGUGCCUAAUACAUGCAAGUCGAGCGAACGGACGAGAAGCUUGCUUCUCUGAUGUUAGCGGCGGACGGGUGAGUAACACGUGGAUAACCUACCUAUAAGACUGGGAUAACUUCGGGAAACCGGAGCUAAUACCGGAUAAUAUUUUGAACCGCAUGGUUCAAAAGUAAAAGACGGUCUUGCUGUCACUUAUAGAUGGAUCCGCGCUGCAUUAGCUAGUUGGUAAGGUAACGGCUUACCAAGGCAACGAUGCAUAGCCGACCUGAGAGGGUGAUCGGCCACACUGGAACUGAGACACGGUCCAGACUCCUACGGGAGGCAGCAGUAGGGAAUCUUCCGCAAUGGGCGAAAGCCUGACGGAGCAACGCCGCGUGAGUGAUGAAGGUCUUCGGAUCGUAAAACUCUGUUAUUAGGGAAGAACAUAUGUGUAAGUAACUGUGCACAUCUUGACGGUACCUAAUCAGAAAGCCACGGCUAACUACGUGCCAGCAGCCGCGGUAAUACGUAGGUGGCAAGCGUUAUCCGGAAUUAUUGGGCGUAAAGCGCGCGUAGGCGGUUUUUUAAGUCUGAUGUGAAAGCCCACGGCUCAACCGUGGAGGGUCAUUGGAAACUGGAAAACUUGAGUGCAGAAGAGGAAAGUGGAAUUCCAUGUGUAGCGGUGAAAUGCGCAGAGAUAUGGAGGAACACCAGUGGCGAAGGCGACUUUCUGGUCUGUAACUGACGCUGAUGUGCGAAAGCGUGGGGAUCAAACAGGAUUAGAUACCCUGGUAGUCCACGCCGUAAACGAUGAGUGCUAAGUGCUAGGGGGUUUCCGCCCCUUAGUGCUGCAGCUAACGCAUUAAGCACUCCGCCUGGGGAGUACGACCGCAAGGUUGAAACUCAAAGGAAUUGACGGGGACCCGCACAAGCGGUGGAGCAUGUGGUUUAAUUCGAAGCAACGCGAAGAACCUUACCAAAUCUUGACAUCCUUUGACAACUCUAGAGAUAGAGCCUUCCCCUUCGGGGGACAAAGUGACAGGUGGUGCAUGGUUGUCGUCAGCUCGUGUCGUGAGAUGUUGGGUUAAGUCCCGCAACGAGCGCAACCCUUAAGCUUAGUUGCCAUCAUUAAGUUGGGCACUCUAAGUUGACUGCCGGUGACAAACCGGAGGAAGGUGGGGAUGACGUCAAAUCAUCAUGCCCCUUAUGAUUUGGGCUACACACGUGCUACAAUGGACAAUACAAAGGGCAGCGAAACCGCGAGGUCAAGCAAAUCCCAUAAAGUUGUUCUCAGUUCGGAUUGUAGUCUGCAACUCGACUACAUGAAGCUGGAGUCGCUAGUAAUCGUAGAUCAGCAUGCUACGGUGAAUACGUUCCCGGGUCU